rnacentral:rRNA from 1 species
GACGAACGCUGGCGGCGUGCUUAACACAUGCAAGUCGAGCGGUAAGGCCCUUCGGGUACGACGAGCGGCGAACGGGUGAGUAACACGUGGGUGACCUGCCUCUAGCUCUGGGAUAAGCCUGGGAAACUGGGUCUAAUACCGGAUAUGACUCCACGGCGCAUGUUGUGGGGUGGAAAGCCUUGUGUGGCUAGAGAUGGGCCCGCGGCCUAUCAGCUUGUUGGUGGGGUGAUGGCCUACCAAGGCGACGACGGUAGCCGGCCUGAGAGGGCGACCGGCCACACUGGGACUGAGACACGGCCCAGACUCCUACGGGAGGC